UAAGCCUACGGGACGCAGCAGUGGGGAAUAUUGCGCAAUGGACGAAAGUCUGACGCAGCGACGCCGCGUGAGGGAUGAAGGUUUUCGGAUCGUAAACCUCUGUCAGGAGGGAAGAAAGCGCAUGGCGCCAAUCAGCCAUGCGUUGACGGUACCUCCAAAGGAAGCGCCGGCUAACUCCGUGCCAGCAGCCGCGGUAAUACGGAGGGCGCGAGCGUUAAUCGGAAUUACUGGGCGUAAAGCGCGCGUAGGCUGUUGUGUAAGUUGGGGGUGAAAUCCCACGGCUCAACUGAGGAACUGCAACCAAA
rnacentral:rRNA from 1 species